UACGUAGGGGGCAAGCGUUGUCCGGAUUUAUUGGGCGUAAAGAGCGUGUAGGCGGUUUGGUCGGUCCGCUGUGAAAACUCGAGGCUCAACCUCGAGACGCCGAUGGAAACCGCAUGGCUAGAGUCCGGAAGAGGAGAGUGGAAUUCCUGGUGUAGCGGUGAAAUGCGCAGAUAUCAGGAAGAACACCCGUGGCUAAGGCGGCUCUCUAGUACGGUACUGACGCUGAGACGCGAAAGCGUGGGGAGCGAACAGG
rnacentral:rRNA from 1 species